rnacentral:rRNA from 1 species
GAUAACGCUAGCGGCAGGCUUAAUACAUGCAAGUCGAGGGGCAGCAGGGGUAGCAAUACUCGCUGGCGACCGGCAAACGGGUGAGUAAUACAUCGGAACGUGCCCAAUCGUGGGGGAUAACGUAGCGAAAGCUACGCUAAUACCGCAUACGAUCUACGGAUGAAAGCGGGGGACUCGCAAGAGCCUCGCGCGAUUGGAGCGGCCGAUAUCAGAUUAGGUUGUUGGUGAGGUAAAAGACUCACCAAGCCUGCGAUCUGUAGCUGGUCUGAGAGGACGACCAGCACACUGGAACUGAGACACGGUCCAGACUCCUACGGGAGGCAGCGGUGGGGAAUUUUGGACAAUGGACGAAAGUCUGAUCCAGCAAUGCCGCGUGCAGGACGAAGGCC